ACGAUUAUAGCUAAAUAUGUAGAUCAAAUUCUAUUUCACACUGUUUGACAACAAAAUAUUUGAAGACCAAAUUUUGGAUGCACUCUUCAGGCUUGCUUUACCAAAACCAUGAGGGAACAUUACUGCAUGAAGUUUUCAAUCAACUUCAUUCUUUAAAGCGGUCACACGAUAAAUAAAACAGAUGCAGGCAUGUAAAGCCCGGAUAAAAAGUGGAAUAUUCUUCAGCAAAUAGCUUUUAGCUAAGAAAUCUAUGGAGACAUCUUGCAUCAGAACAUUUAAUGAACUGGCAAAAUUGUGCAAGCCCUCAAGCAUGAAAAAAAUACAUAGUUGUUUAUACUUUGGUCACUUCCUGGUGGAAUUAUAGCUGCAGUUCUCUGAAAUGGCAAGACAAUUUAUAUGGUGACACUGGCUUGCAUUUACUGAACAAGAAUAAAGAUAGUUUGUCAACUCAGAUUAUGCUUCUAUGCCUAUGUCAAGAAAAUGAGAUGAAAAUUGCAAAGAUGAAAAAAUGGAUUGGGACCUUAUUGUGUGGUCAGCAAUGGUGGGAUGUCAACCUCUGUGGGGUCAAGGUAUGGUGUGGAAGAAGCUCAUUUGAUCAUUUCUAAAAUCAGCUAAGAGUGGCCCAAAUUUUUGUACAAAUUUAAUAAAGUAGAUGGUCUCGCAUGCGAAUCUAGCAGCAAGAAGAAAACCCCAACUUUGAGCUGUAACAGAGAGAGGAAUAAAAGCUCUCAUAUUCAGCUUCAAGACCUCAGCAACUGCUGGAAGCUAAAACAAAACAAAAAUCCUGGUUCUGUGAGAGCUUGACCCCACCCAUUUAAACUGCUUCUAUUUUUCCAACUUUUAAAAAAAACAACUCCUCCCAAGCUGUGUACUUUUUUGGCUUUGAACAGACCACACAGUGCUCUCACUCGACCUCUCUUCAGUUAAAAAAAAAGACAAAAUACACCUCAUUAAGCCGUAGUAUUGGCAUACUUUACCCUUUAAAAAAAUGAGUCAUCAAUAUACAAGGACAUCUCUUUCAUUCCAGGAGGAAACAAUGACAAUAGUGCAGAAAAAGUCAAGAGGGUCAUGGGCAGGCCAACAUUUGACUCCUCACACCCUCUUAUGAGAAUAAGACACAAACUCUGACUGCUCUGAGUACCUGACUGACUGCUUUCAAACUCCUCGGCAGAUAUUUAAGGCUGCCCUUGUCUUAUUUUGCUGGGAUCUCUGAACAAAGCCUAUCCCCUUCCUUCUGACUGAGGCCAGCUAACAACUGUGAAGAGCUUCCCAGCUUUGUGGUCGCAGUAAAUGAUAUGACAAGACAGCACUUCCAUGAGACUGGCAUGUCUGACCAAAGGGAUAAAGUGCAAAAUGUCAAAACAGAGGAAAGAAAGGGCAGAGAUGUUAUGACAUCAGAAUGAGUGAGUAGUAUGACUGCAAACAAACAGGCUGGAGGUGCAGCCUGGUCGAUUUCAUGAGCUGGGUGUGAGCCCCUUAGCACAGUAUCCUUGCUGUAGAAAACAAUAUUGUUAUCAUUGUGCCUUGAGUUGUAGCAUGAAGUGUAGAACUGUCCUAUAAGUGAAUUGGAGAUGUGCCAUGUAAUUUUUUUAGAUGUUGGCAUUUAGCCAAUGUCAUUGGCUAUAGAUGUGAGGUGUAUGGGGCCGCUGUCCAUGUUCAGAGGUAUCGGUGCCCAGUGUCCAACAUGGAGGUCCUUGGAAGCAGGUGGAGACCAGAACUCACCAAGCCCUGCUCUGACUGCCUAGCUAAUUCUCAAACAAGUCCACAUAAGCCAUUGUGAUUGUAAGCAUUAUGCAUGUAAAUUUUUGAUGUAUUAUUAUUUUGUGCCAGACCUUGCUUCAGUAGGAACAAUGGAGGAUACCUAAUUUUCAGCACU